UUCAAUUUGAUUUGAUUGUUAUGUAUUUUUUUUGUAUCACUUAAAUACAUUUAUAUAUUUUUAUAAUACUCCUAUUAUGUAUUACAAAUACGUAUGAAUUAUCGGACGUGCGGAGCACGGGUAUAAUACUAGUUAUAGGUAAAAGCCAAAAGAAAUACUACCCCUGUCUCACCCUCACUAUUGUUGUCCCAAAACUUUUGUAAGAUCAUAUUAUGUAACUAAAUUGAAAUAUUAUGUAACAAGUACUGAGGUACUUAAAUUAUGUGUAAGGUCAUAUUCCUGCAUAUAUAUUUCAGCUGCCAUUGAUGCUCUGCCAGUAGCUUAGCUGUGUUUGAUUUUAGGAGCCAUACAUACGUCUAUGCUAUAAAAUGUAUAUAAACUUAAAUUAAAAUAUAGGGAAUAAAUAUAUAACCUUUCUUAACUUUUUAUAGCCGUUGGUAUGUAAAACACAAGUUAUUGGCACAUUUCUUCAUCCAAAAGAUGCUUCAAUUAGUGACCAUCAAGAUCAGCAUAUUUACCUGAAUCAACCAACAACAUAGUAACUAAAUGCCCUUGCGGGAGCAAUUCACAAGCAAGAUACCAAGCAACAUGAUUUCUUAGAAAAUACUUUCCCAAAAUGCUUAUGAAAAAUAAAACCUCAAGUGCACAGUUACUAACCUCUGAUACUGGAAUUUGUAAGUUUGGCAUUUUGCUAUCUGUAAAUUUUACAAAAUCGGCUGGUAUCUGUCCCUGAAAAAUGAGAAGAAAGAAUAAUUGCUAGACUCGUUAACAGAGAGUUUAAUUUACAUAAGAAAACAAAUAAAUAGUGAACAACUAAGGCUUCAUAAUUCUCCAAUAAAAUAAAUAAAUUUAAUUAAAAUCCACAAAAUCAUUCAAACUAUUAAUAAUUGAAAACAGACCUCAGAAAGACGAUUAUCAAAUAUGCAGAGGAGAGCAUUUUUAUCGUCGAUGCUCGCUUCUUGGAUUAAAUUUGACGGAACUCUCUCUAGGGAAUUGUUUGGUUGAUUUCAGUGAAUAAAAGGAUUCACAUAUUGGGGAUUCCUGAUGGAUGGCAAGAUUAGUUUGGCUUCGAGUUGUUGGGUUUGGGGUGAAUUUGAAGGACACAUUGUGAAACCGAUAACAGUACAGGUGGACUAGGGUUAGCUUGUGAAGGUGAUGUGAGGGAGUUUCUAUGACUGGCCGAUCUUAA
rnacentral:lncRNA from 1 species